GCGCUGAAUCCUCGAGCCUUCGGCUCCAAGGACCUGUAGCGUUAAGGAGAGCCUAUCCGUCGGUACGUUCGCUUCGUAAGCGCCCUUGAACGGGACUCCGAAGAAGGUGCGAGGCCUGUACCGAAGCGACGUCCGUCGGUUUGCGCCUCCGUAGAGUCGAGUUGCUUGAGAGUGCAGCUCAAAGUCGAAGGUAAACCCCUUCUAAAACUAAAUACGACCACGAGACCGAUAGCGAACAAGUACCGCGAGGGAAAGUUGAAAAGAACUUUGAAGAGAGAGUUCAAAAGGGCGUGAAACCGCUUAGGAGAUAAACGAAUGGAGCCGUCGGUGGCCGGCGGAAAUCAGUUGAGCGAUAGGCGAAUAGACGUCUCGUCGCGUCGAACGUAAAGUCGGCGCGGCGGGCGAGCGAGUAGCCGACGCUUAGCGCAUUUUCCGCCGGUUUCGCGCUGCAACCGAUAUAUACGGCCGGCAUAGGCGCGGGCGAUUGAGGGCGAGAACCUUCGGGUUUUCGUAACCAGUCGUUCCGCGACUCGCGUCGGACCGUCGUUAUCGGCUAAUCGGAGACGUUCGACGACGUCGGCUGUAAGUGCUCGUCUGCGACGUUUCGGCGAUCGGUUCGUCACGUCGGCGUCUGCUCGCAGACGUCGGCGUACGCCUAUCGGUCGUUCGUGCGUCCGGCGACGUUCGGCGUCGUGGCGUUCGCAGCGUCCGCGUCGGUCACCCAUUCGACCCGUCUUGAAACACGGACCAAGGAGUCUAACAUAUGCGCGAGCCGAUAAGUAUUCAUUAAACUUAGAGGCGCAAUAAAAGUAAAGACCGUCCUCGUCGAUGGUUUAGGUACGAUCCUAGUCCGUUUACGGAAACGUCGACGUCUAGGCGCAGUACCGUCCCAUCCUAUCCGCUCGACGGGAGGGUGGGAGAAAGAGUGCAUACGUUGAGGAACCGAAAAGAUGGUUGAACUAUGCCAUGCAGCAGAGUCGAAUCCCGU
rnacentral:rRNA from 1 species